ACCCUUCAGUCCAUAAACAUGAUGACGGGGUGUUCAUGCCACAUGCAUGAACUGUGCCUCCCUCAAACCUUGUUUACAACAUCAGCACAUUAUCCUCUGACG
rfam:Cavia porcellus supercont2_5 genomic scaffold, whole genome shotgun sequence.